rnacentral:rRNA from 1 species
AUACGCAGGGGGCGAGCGUUGUCCGGAAUGAUUGGGCGUAAAGGGCGCGUAGGCGGCGCGGUAAGUCUGGAGUGAAAGUCCUGCUUUCAAGGUGGGAAUUGCUUUGGAUACUGCCGCGCUUGAGUGCAGGAGAGGUUAUCGGAAUUCCCGGUGUAGCGGUGAAAUGCGUAGAGAUCGGGAGGAACACCAGUGGCGAAGGCGACUUACUGGACUGCAACUGACGCUGAGGCGCGAAAGUGUGGGGAGCAAACAGGAUUAGAUACCCUGGUAGUCCACACUGUAAACGAUGAAUGCUAGGUGUAAGAGGUAUCGACCCCUUUUGUGCCGGAGUCAACACAAUAAGCAUUCCGCCUGGGGAGUACGGCCGCAAGGUUGAAACUCAAAUGAAUUGGCGGGG